UCCUACGGGAGGCAGCAGUAGGGAAUCUUCCGCAAUGGACGAAAGUCUGACGGAGCAACGCCGCGUGAGUGAAGAAGGUUUUCGGAUCGUAAAACUCUGUUGUCAGAGAAGAACACGUUGGAGAGUAACUGCUCCAGCCUUGACGUUAUCUGUCCAGAAAGCCAUGGCUAACUACGUGCCAGCAGCCGCGGUAAUACGUAGGUGGCAAGCGUUGUCCGGAUUUAUAGGGCGUAAAGCGAGCGCAGGCGGUUCCUUAAGUCUGAUGUGAAAGCCCACGGCUCAACCGUGGAAGGUCAUUGGAAACUGGGGAACUUGAGUGCAGAAGAGGAGAGUGGAAUUCCAUGUGUAGCGGUGAAAUGCGUAGAUAUAUGGAGGAACACCAGUGGCGAAGGCGACUCUCUGGCCUGUAACUGACGCUGAGGCUCGAAAGCGUGGGGAGCAAACAGGAUUAGAUACCCUGGUAGUCCACGCCGUAAACGAUGAGUGCUAAGUGUUGGAGGGUUUCCACCCUUCAGUGCUGCAGCUAACGCAUUAAGCACUCCGCCUGGGGAGUACGGCCGCAAGGCUGAAACUCAAAGGAAUUGACGG
rnacentral:rRNA from 1 species